rnacentral:misc_RNA from 1 species
AAGGACGAAGAAAAGCGGAAGCGCCGUAAUUUCGCCUAAAGGCAGCCCGCGUCCUGCGGGCAACGGCGAAAUAUCGCCAUCCUGGCGAUCUCGAAGCCAAAUGUUCUUCACCCGCAGGGGUGCUUGCACCCCGAGGGGGAAGGUUAUUUGGCAGAAGAGAGCCAGGCGCUGGAGCUAGACAUCAGUCGUUAUUCAAAGCAAAACGCGCUUCUGUUUCGUUCAGUUUUGAAGGAAUGAGAAAUUCCUUCAGUUGCUUUGCGUCUGCGUCUACAAGUGAAUUCAGAGAAGCUGGAUUCCUCGGCGCAAAGCUGCAAGGAAGCUGUUUCAACGUAGUUGCUUUGCGUCUGUGCCUGCGUCUGCUAGCAGGUUCAGGGAAGCAAGAUUCCUCGGCGCAAGACUGCAGAGAAGUGAAUUCAAUGAAGUAGUCUCGUUUGCGUCUGCGUCUACAAGCGGAUUCGGAGAAGCCGAAUUCCUCGACGCAAACCAGCGAAGAAGCGAAUUCAAAGGAGCUACUUCGUUCCUUGAAAACUAGAUAACCGAUAAAGCAAAGGAAGAAGCCGAGAGCGCAAUA